rnacentral:rRNA from 1 species
AGCAGCCGCGGUAAUUCCAGCUCCAAUAGCGUAUAUUAAAGUUGUUGCAGUUAAAAAGCUCGUAGUUGAAUUUCGGGACUAUCAUGUCGGUCGUGCCUCGGUACGUACUGGCAUUGUUGGUUUCUACCUUCUGACGAACCAUGAUGUCAUUUAUUUGGUGUCGUGGGGAAUCAGGACUGUUACUUUGAAAAAAUUAGAGUGUUCAAAGCAGGCCUAUGCUCGAAUACAUUAGCAUGGAAUAAUAGAAUAGGACGUGUGGUUCUAUUUUGUUGGUUUCUAGGACCGCCGUAAUGAUUAAUAGGGAUAGUCGGGGGCAUCAGUAUUCAAUUGUCAGAGGUGAAAUUCUUGGAUUUAUUGAAGACUAACUACUGCGAAAGCAUUUGCCAAGGAUGUUUUCAUUAAUCAGUGAACGAAAGUUAGGGGAUCGAAGACGAUCAGAUACCGUCGUAGUCUUAACCAUAAACUAUGCCGACUAGGGAUCGGAUGAUGUUAAUUUUUUAACGACUCAUUCGGCGCCUUACGGGAAACCAAAGUGUUU